UAUCUCAUUUACCUGAUGACAAAUCAUUCAAAUAAAAAUUGUUUCAUAUCGAACUCAACCAAACAAUAAUUGACUGCUUUGAAUAUCGACCAAUACCGCCUAAUACUCAAUUGGGGGUAAUACAUGUGCCAAAAAAAUCCAUAACAGCUUGCGGAUGAUAUAUCGCGAUGGUGUUCCAUUCUCACUUUACCCACCACGACAGAGAGAAACGGUACAGUAUACGUUCUACGUAAGUAUCGUGUUCCUACUAGGAACUGAGGCCAAGAGGCGACGCGACACGAUGCGGUACGAUACUCUGCGAUAGAUACCGUCUAUUGAAAAUACCGUCGCGCAUCUUUCUUGAAUAUCGCGACGGUACGGUAUCAUAAAAUCGCGCUCCAAAAUACCGUUCCUCAAAUACCGACCCAUCUCUACCUCUUGGUAGUUGGUCUACUCUUUGGCUAUACCAUCGACAUAACCUUAAUCUAGACUGCUAAUAGACCAAUUCAGCGACCUGUUAAAACGAAUGCAAUAUGACGGCGUAGGGCAAACAUUGUAUUUUAUGAUAUGCGACCAUAGUAGUUAUUGUUUCUUUUAGCGAUUUCCUGUGUGUAUUUCGAUUGUGUUUUUGAAUUUUAAUUAGUGUUUUAACUGAAGGAAAAUGCUCAUUACGUGCAUUGUGGUUGGCUGUGGAUCUCGUAACAAAAGGUAUAAAGUCGGGUUUACUCAGUUCCUACAGUUUCAAAACACAAGUUUUUGACUAAUAAAAAUGAGUUAUCCAGAAAGCGAAAAGCCCUAUGGUUCACAAUCAAGCGAGAUGAUCUCACAGAUUCGAAGAUCAAGUAUCAGAAAGUCUGCAGCAGAUAUUUUAUAUCAAGCAAACCUGCUUCUUUAGAGAAUGAAACCAAUCUUGACUUGAGUUCCUUCGUAGAACAUGGGACAUUCAGCACAAAAUGUUCGAAAGGAUAAUAAAGAUGUUGAAAAAAAAGCGAGGUUGGAUAGAAGAAAAUUAUCUGAAAAUGAACUCCAGUCUUAUAUGGAUAUUGACUUUGAUAAUAAUGAACCUAGAGAUGGACAAGAAACAGGCAUUUCAACACGGACUGAUUUAACAAUGGAAGAACUGGCUACAAAAUUUGAACAACUGACUGAAAAGACUAUCAUAAAUUGUAUGUUGA